rnacentral:rRNA from 1 species
AUUGAACGCUGGCGGCAGGCCUAACACAUGCAAGUCGACCGAGUGGCGGACGGGUGAGUAAUGUCUGGGAAACUGCACGAUGGAGGGGGAUAACUACGGGAAACGGUAGCUAAUACCGCAUACCAUCGGAUGUGCCCAGCUGGGAUUAGCUAGUAGGUGGGGUAACGGCUCUCCUAGGCGACGAUCACUAGCUGGUCUGAGAGGACGAACAUCAACACUGGAACUGAGACACGGUCCAGACGCCUACGGGAGGCAGCAGUGGGGAAUAUUGCACAAUGGGCGCAAGCCUGAUGCAGCCAUGCCGCGUGUAUGAAGAAGGCCUUCGGGUUGUAAAGUACUUUCAGCGAGGAGGCGUUACUCGCAGAAGAAGCACCGGCUAACUCCGUGCCAGCAGCCGCGGUAAUAC